GUAAGUCAUACUAUUUAUAACGUAGAGGAGAAAAAAUAAUAAGCCAGCCACCAUGCAAAAGUAAAGUUUUCCCUUGAAAUGGCUUUUGAUGGCAUGCUAUUUAUUUUGUGGAUAUCAUUGUUAAAUAUGGCUACAGGA
rnacentral:snoRNA from 1 species